UUUUUUAAUACUUAUCCUUAUUCACUAUUAUAGAAAAAAAAUAAUUAUUUAUAUACCAUUCAAAUAUUCUGAAAUAUCUUAUAUUUUUUAUUUUAAAUAAUUUUUUUGUAUAUUUUUUUAUUAUUUAAAAAUAGUUUAUUGUUAGUAUCUAUUAAGUCAUCUCAGAUUAAACUCAGACUAAAUUUCUAUCAAAGUUAAAAAAAAUCAAAAUAAAAAAUUUGAUGACGAUAAAAGACUAUAUUUGAAAUGGUCAUAAGUUAAAAUACUUAUUUUGUCAUUAACUUAAGGGUGCGUUUGGUUCGCGCUAUCUUUUAAAGAUUCCUAAUAAUCCAAUGGGAAUAAAAAAAUAUGACGGUGUUUGGCUAAACGCACUAAGUAAUCCAGUUGGUAAUAUUGGAUACACUUGGGAAUAAGAUUCACCCCACAGUACUAAUCUCAUUCCCUUGAGGGAGGAUGGGUAUCCUCAUAUUAAUGGAUUUAAGUAAUCAUAAUAUAUCUAAUCUCCUUCUUUCUUCCUACCCGCCGGCUAAUUGAUAUUAUUUUUCUUUACACUCUAACCUUAUAUCUCUCUCUAAACUUAUUUUUCUCUUUAAAAUUCAACUUUUUUUUUUCUCUCUCAAAACUAAGCUUUCUCUCUCUCUCUCUUUCUAAAAUUUCAACUCUCUCACUCCCUCUAAUUUCGACUAUAUUUUUCUUUCUAUUUUUUAAUUAUGCUCUCUCUCUCUAACUUAUACUCUCUCUCAUUUUUUUCUAAAAAGAUGUUGAAAUUUUUAAUAACAUUAUCUAAAAUUAAUUAAAUUAAUUAAUUAAUUAAUUAUAUUUUUUUGUAAUAUUAAAUAACAUGGCUAAUUAAUAUUACCGUGCGAACCAAACACAGAAAUUCCACAUUCUUAGUAAUAGGAUGAAUAGGAAUAAGAUUCUCGGAUAUCUUUUAUUUCUAGUAAUCUUUUAUAAUGCGAACCAAACGCACCCUAAGGGCAAUAAGAGAAUCGUGACGGUGGAAGGGUACAUUUGAAAAGAUAAAAUAGUAAUUUUAUAAAAAUAACGGCCGUUCGUAAUAGUUCACUAAUAGAAUUUAAUUCUACAAAUAUAUUUCAAAGAAUUUGAAAUGUUAAAAGAUUUUUUUUCUUUUUUUUGUAUUAACCUUCUAAAAUAGAUAAAUAAGAAAAUUUGAAACUUUAAACAACUGUUCCAAAAAAAUUACUAAAUUUUUUAUAAUAUCUGUGCACUAGCAUCCACGUGACUCUCGCUCCUAUUUUUGAAUUCAUACCACCCACCAAAUCCCAGUUAGUUCUUUAAUCAGUAACUGGAGCAGGUUGAGACGAACACAGAGCUCAGAAGCUCACUAAAAAUUUGAAGCUUUUUCGUACAGAAAAUAAAAUUCCACUAAAAAUGUAGAGAUUACUAAAAGUGCAAUUUAUUUCAGAAUUAAUUUUAUAUAGAUUCCUACGAAUAUAGUAAAUUAUAAAUAUAUUCCUACAAAGUACAAUUUUUAUAUAUUGUUUCUAUGAAAGUCUUAAUAUUUUCAAAUAUGUUCGUCUGAUUUGUUAUCGUUAAAGUACCGUCUAUUUUAUAAAUAAAAUGAUAUUUUUUACUAUCACAAAUAUAUAUUUUUCAAAAGUGCCAACUGUUAAUUAAAAAGGGACAAAAAAAAUCAAUUCAUCUUAUUAACUAAUUAGAAUUAAGUAUUUAACUUAUGGCUAACUAAAUUUUUUGAACGAAUUUUAACGGCAGAAACAUAUUUAAAAAUAUCAAAAUUUUUAUAAAAACAAUAUAUAAAAGUUGAACUUUAAAAGAAUUUAUUUAUAAUUUACUAUGUAGUUACAUAAACUUGUACACAUAUUAACCCUUUAUUUUAACUCUACUGUACAAUCCUUCCCCUUU
rnacentral:lncRNA from 1 species